rnacentral:rRNA from 1 species
CCUUUUGCAUAAUGAGCCUACGAGUUACUGUCACUGGCAAGGUUAAGUCCUUUAAGGGAUGCAGCCGGAGCGAAAGCGAGUCUGAAUAGGGCGUGCAGUCAGUGGUAGUAGACGCGAAACUUUGUGAUCUACCCUUGGUCAGGAUGAAGCCCCGUUAACCCGGGGUGGAGGUCCGAACUAGUAAACGUUGAAAAGUUUUUGGAUGAACUGAGGGUAGGGGUGAAAGGCUAAUCAAACUGAGAAAUAGCUCGUACUCCCCGAAAUGUUUUUAGGAACAGUGUGGAGGUUGAGUUUAAUAGAGGUAGAGCUACCAAUUGGACUAGGGGGAGUCACAUCCUACCAAAUCCAGAUGAACUCCGAAUGCUAUUAAAUAUACUCUGCAAUGAGGGCGCGGGUGCUAAGGUCCGUGUCCGAGAGGGAAAGAACCCAGACCUACAGCUAAGGUCCCAAAAUCUAUACUAAGUUGAACUAAGGCGGUUCAGUUGCUGAGACAGCCAGGAGGUUAGCUUGGAAGCAGCUAUUCCUUUAAAGAGUGCGUAACAGCUCACUGGUCGAGCGACAGAGCAUCGAUAAUAAUCGGGCAUCAAGUAUAGUACCGAAGCUUAGGAUUGUAGUAAUACAGUGGUAGGGGAGCAUUCUAACAGCGGAGAAGUCGUGUGGUAAUGCACGGUGGAGCGGUUAGAAAAGCAAAUGUAGGCAUAAGUAACGAUAAGGCAGGUGAGAAACCUGCCCACCGAUAGACUAAGGUUUCCGCGGCAAUGCUAAUCAUCCGCGGGUAAGUCGGGACCUAAGGCGAAUCCGAAAGGAGUAGUCGAUGGCCAGCUGGUUAAUAUUCCAGUACUACCGUAAUGAGCGAUGGGAAGAAGGAGGAGUGAAAGUUCCGCGCCCUGACGAAAUAGGGCGUUAACAGGCGUAGGUAUAUCUUUGGUAGGCAAAUCCGCCAGAGAUGCUGAAACCCAAUAGUACGAGGAGGCUUCGGCCGAAUUGAUAGAGAACGUAAGCAGACUUCCAAGAAAAUCCCCUAAGCAUAUUGUUAUGGUACCCGUACCGCAAACCGACACAGGUAGUCAAGAAGAAUAUUCUAAGGUGCUCGAGUGAAUCAUGGCUAAGGAACUCGGCAAAUUAACCCUGUAACUUCGGGAGAAGGGGUGCCUCGUUCUAGCAAUAGAAAAGGUCGCAGAGAAAUGGCCCAGGCGACUGUUUAACAAAAACACAUGGCUUUGCGAAAUCGAAAGAUGAAGUAUAAGGCCUGACACCUGCCCGGUGCUGGAAGGUUAAGGGGGGACGUUAGUGCGCAAGUGCGAAGCGUUGAACUGAAGCCCCAGUAAACGGCGGCCGUAACUAUAACGGUCCUAAGGUAGCGAAAUUCCUUGUCGGGUAAGUUCCGACCUGCACGAAUGGUGUAACGAUCUGGGCGCUGUCUCAGCCAUGAGCUCGGUGAAAUUGUAGUCACGGUGAAGAUGCCGUGUACCCGUCACGGGACGGAAAGACCCCAUGCACCUUUACUAUAGCUUCACAUUGGUAUUGGGAGAAUGAUGUGUAGGAUAGGUGGGAGGCGUUGAUCCAGGGCCGCUAGGUUUUGGGGAGCCAAUGGUGAAAUACCACCCUUUAUUUUCUUGAUGCCUAACCUUGUAAAAGGGACAUUGUGUGGUGGGUAGUUUGACUGGGGUGGUCGCCUCCGAAAGUGUAUCGGAGGCUUUCAAAGGUAUGCUCAGUACGCUUGGUAACCGUACGUGGAGUGCAAUAGCAUAAGCAUGCUUGACUGUGAGACCGACGGGUCGAGCAGGGACGAAAGUUGGAUAUAGUGAUCCGGUGGUUCUGUAUGGAAGGGCCAUCGCUCAAAGGAUAAAAGGUACGCUGGGGAUAACAGGCUGAUCUCCCCCAAGAGCUCAUAUCGACGGGGAGGUUUGGCACCUCGAUGU